CAGCAGCCGCGGGAAUACGUAGGUCCCGAGCGUUGUCCGGAUUUAUUGGGCGUAAAGCGAGCGCAGGCGGUUUGAUAAGUCUGAAGUUAAAGGCUGUGGCUCAACCAUAGUUCGCUUUGGAAACUGUCAAACUUGAGUGCAGAAGGGGAGAGUGGAAUUCCAUGUGUAGCGGUGAAACGCGUAGAUAUAUGGAGGAACACCGGUGGCGAAAGCGGCUCUCUGGUCUGUAACUGACGCUGAGGCUCGAAAGCGUGGGGAGCGAACAGGAUUAGAUACCCCGGUAGUCCCUGUCUCUUAUACA
rnacentral:rRNA from 1 species